UACGGAAGGCAGCAGUGGGGAAUAUUGCACAAUGGGCGAAAGCCUGAUGCAGCUAUGCCGCGUGUAUGAAGAAGGCCUUAGGGUUGUAAAGUACUUUCAUCGGGGAGGAAAAAACAAAACUAAUAAUUUUAUUUCUUGACGUUACCCGAAAAAGAAGCACCGGCUAACUCCGUGCCAGCAGCCGCGGUAAUACGGAGGGUGCUAGCGUUAAUCAGAAUUACUGGGCGUAAAGAGCACGUAGGUGGUUUUUUUAAGUCAGAUGUGAAAUCCCUGGGCUUAACCUGGAACUGCAUUUUGAAACUGAAAUACUAGAGUAUCGUAGAGGGAGGUAGAAUUCUAGGUGUAGCGGUGAAAUGCGUAGAUAUCUGGAGGAAUACCUGUGGCGAAAGCGGCCUCCUAAACGAAUACUGACACUGAGGUGCGAAAGCGUGGGGAGCAAACGAGGGAUUAGGAUA
rnacentral:rRNA from 1 species